rnacentral:rRNA from 1 species
CUACGGGAGGCAGCAGUAAGGAAUAUUGGUCAAUGGACGAAAGUCUGAACCAGCCAUGCCGCGUGAAGGAUGACGGCCCUCUGGGUUGUAAACUUCUUUUAUCUGGGACGAAAAAAGAUCAUUCUUGAUCACUUGACGGUACCAGAGGAAUAAGCACCGGCUAACUCCGUGCCAGCAGCCGCGGUAAUACGGAGGGUGCAAGCGUUAUCCGGAUUUACUGGGUUUAAAGGGUGCGUAGGUGGGCAGGUAAGUCAGUGGUGAAAUCUUCGAGCUUAACUCGGAAACUGCCAUUGAUACUAUCUGUCUUGAAUUUCCUGGAGGUAAGCGGGAUAUGUCAUGUAGCGGUGAAAUGCUUAGAUAUGACAUAGAACACCAAUUGCGAAGGCAGCUUACUACGGGAAUAUUGACACUGAGGCACGAAAGCGUGGGGAUCAAACAGGAUUAGAUACCCUGGUAGUCCACGCCCUAAACGAUGGAUACUCGACAUACGCGAUACACUGUGUGUGUCUGAGCGAAAGCAUUAAGUAUCCCACCUGGGAAGUACGAUCGCAAGAUUGAAACUCAAAGGAAUUGACGGA